rnacentral:rRNA from 1 species
GGGAAUAGCCCAGCACUGAAUCCCGCGCUCGACCUCCGGCGUCGGGAGAUGUGGUGUUUGGGAGGGCUCAUCAACCGGAGGCCGGCGGACAAGCCCAAGUCCUUCUUGAACGGGGCCACUUACCCACAGAGGGUGCCAGGCCCGUAAGGCUGUCCACGGUCGUCGGCGAGCUCUCUCCUUAGAGUCGGGUUGCUUUAGAGUGCAGCCCUAAGUAGGUGGUAAACUCCAUCUAAGGCUAAAUAUGACCACGAGACCGAUAGCGAACAAGUACCGUGAGGGAAAGUUGAAAAGGACUUUGAAGAGAGAGUUCAAUAGUACGUGAAACCGUUCAGGGGUAAACCUGCGAAACCCGAAAGUUCGAACGGGGAUAUUCAACGCGUCCGGUCUGGCGGACGAGCCGGGUCGGCUCUCGACGGGCGUCCGUUCGCGGGCGCUCGCGGACGUCCCGGCCGUCCUGUCACCGGCGCGUGCACUUCUCCCCUUGUAGGACGUCGCGAUCCGUCGGGCGUCGGUCUACGGUCGGCGGUGGAGCCCGCGCGCGCCUCGGCGCGCGCGAACCCGUGAUUCUCCGGCCGACUCGCUCGACGGUAUCUCUCGAGGCGCGGAGCCGCGACUAGUUCGCGUCCGACUCUCCGCAAGCGCGGCCGGUCUCCCGGCUGUCGGAUCUGAUGCCGGCACCGGGACCGGACGGCUGCUGGCGGGCACGUUCUCGGAUAGACUCCGAUCCACGCCUAUCGGCGACGCUAUAGCUUUGGGUAAUCUCAGGACCCGUCUUGAAACACGGACCAAGGAGUCUAGCAUGUGCGCGAGUCAUUGGGACUUUAAACCUACUGGCGAAAUGAAAGUGAAGGCCGCCUUGCGCGCGCCUAGGGAGGAUGGGUCGCACCGCGGUGCGGCCCCGCACUCCUGGGGCGUCUCGUGCCCAUUGCGGGCUGAGGCGCACCGAGAGCGCAAAUGCUGGGACCCGAAAGA